rnacentral:rRNA from 1 species
ACGCUCGACACCUACGGGAGCAGCAGUGGGGAAUAUUGCACAAUGGGGGAAACCCUGAUGCAGCGACGCCGCGUGGAGGAAGAAGGUCUUCGGAUUGUAAACUCCUGUUGUUGGGGAAAAAGAGGAUGGUACCCAACAAGGAAGUGACGGCUAACUACGNGCCAGCAGCCGCGGUAAUCUGAGGCGGGCUGGCAAGGC